GAUGAACGCUGGCGGCGUGCCUAACACAUGCAAGUCGAACGAAGCACCUUACCUGAUUCUUCGGAUGAAAGUUUGGUGACUGAGUGGCGGACGGGUGAGUAACGCGUGGGUAACCUGCCCUGUACAGGGGGAUAACAGCUGGAAACGGCUGCUAAUACCGCAUAAGCGCACGAGGAGACAUCUCCUUGUGUGAAAAACUCCGGUGGUACAGGAUGGGCCCGCGUCUGAUUAGCUGGUUGGCAGGGUAACGGCCUACCAAGGCAACGAUCAGUAGCCGGUCUGAGAGGAUGAACGGCCACAUUGGAACUGAGACACGGUCCAAACUCCUACGGGAGGCAGCAGUGGGGAAUAUUGCACAAUGGGGGAAACCCUGAUGCAGCAACGCCGCGUGAGUGAAGAAGUAUUUCGGUAUGUAAAGCUCUAUCAGCAGGGAAGAUAAUGACGGUACCCGACUAAGAAGCUCCGGCUAAAUACGUG
rnacentral:rRNA from 1 species